rnacentral:lncRNA from 1 species
AUUUCUUUGCAACUAUAGAAGGCUCAUUAGCUAGGGUUUGAAUCUCUUCAGAGACUUGUUCACCAUUCUGUAAUAAUUCUGCCACAUGAAACCCAAACCACUCAUGGAACUUCUCAAAAUGAAUACGACUGAUUUCUCUGUUAUUUUCAUGGCCAAGUGACGACAGGUAGUCAAGAUGUUUUCUGUAGAGGUUAAAUUUAUUCAGUACAAACAGUAAUAA